AUUUUCGUCGCCUAAUGAAUCCUUAUGAGCUACAUGAACAUAGCUGUUUAAGACAUCCCCUUCUUGGUGCAAAAUUGUUAAGCACGGGUGUUCCCUUUGAAUAAAAGAGCCCAGCGCCUUGGAAUAAAGGUUCAAGAAAGCUUGGUUUAAUGACUGUAGACUUUUUUCACCCGGUGAAAGGUGCACAACUUUUUUUCUUUUUUAAUCCAAGUCGGUAUCGAUGUUUAUCUUCUCUUGGCAUUGAUUGUGAUGGAGACGCAUUUGAUAGACCGAAAUGUUUUCGAGUCAAGCUUGAUGGUGCAGAGGCAGCAACUCGACUCCUCCAUUUGCUAAUAAAGCACUAAAUCAAAUAAUUUUUUAGGUUAUUUUUCUUGUUACCGUUCUUUUUUAAAUAAGAAUCCUUUAAAAAAAGAAGAUGCAAUGAAUCAUGUUUGAAUGUUACAUUGGAAUUCAAAAAACGGAUACGCGACACAGUCAUUUAUGCAUAGGAUGAAAGACAGUCUUACUUGAACUUUCCGAGUGUUUUUCAGAUAUUAAAAGAUGGCGGUGUGAUGAAGUGUAUCGACCCAAUGAAUACCUUCUAUCUGUAACAAGCUUUUUUUUUUUAUGAGAAGAAGCAUUUCUAUGA